GGAUUAGAUACCCUGGUAGUCCACGCUGUAAACGAUGAUAACUCGCUGUUGGCGAUAUACUGUCAGCGGCCAAGCGAAAGCGUUAAGUUAUCCACCUGGGGAGUACGAUCGCAAGGUUGAAACUCAAAGGAAUUGACGGGGGCCCGCACAAGCGGUGGAGCAUGUGGUUUAAUUCGAUGAUACGCGAGGAACCUUACCUGGGCUUAAAUGCAGAACGACCGGCUGGGAAACCAGCCUUUCUUCGGACGGUCUGCAAGGUGCUGCAUGGCUGUCGUCAGCUCGUGUCG
rnacentral:rRNA from 1 species